UUUUAAUGAUGAGAAAAACAGACCUGAUUUGAAAAAUAAUUUGAGAAUAAUUAUAACGCUCCUGAAAAAA
rfam:Plasmodium falciparum NF54 unplaced genomic scaffold supercont1.338, whole genome shotgun sequence.